rnacentral:rRNA from 1 species
UACAUAGUCUUUUGGUGGAGAAUUCAAAUGCGUAGAGAUGGAAAAAAAAACACCAACGAUGAAAGCAUACGGUUGGAUCAUUACCAACACUAAAAGACGAAAGCUAAGGGAGUGAUUGAGAUUAGAUACCCUGGUAGUAUUAGCCGUAAAUGAUGGAUGCUAGGCACUCCCUAACUUAAUGAUCAAGUUGCAAGUUAAUCAACAAUCU